CGUUCCGGCCGCUCCUGCCUCUGCACUCGCUCCGCAUCCUCUGCCUCCUCCUCCUCUUCCGCCUCGGAGCCCUCCAGGGGGGACGCGGGGCCAGUGCCUCGGCCCGCAGCAUCUAAGAGAGAAGUGGGAGGUGACCAGAAGCCCUAAACAACUCUACCAGCGGCGUCCCCAAACCUUCUUGUCCUCCUCCAGAGCGCUCGGCUUUGUCCUUCCUUGAUCCAACUCCCAGUUCCUUCCCUCUUCCCACUUUGCCCUCUCUGGUCCCCAAUCCGCACACCCUAAAGAGCAGAUUCAGGAGUACCAUGUCCUCUUGCCCUUUAGAAACCUGCCACUAACUAGGCACCUAAGAAGUAUGUUGGAUGGCACCCGACAUCAAGAAAGUAUAGUGACUUUAUCGAGGAAAGAGCGGAGUCGGUGCGAUAUGGACAUGUCAAGUGCAUUUACCAUAGAACUUCCCAGUCCCUAGAAGCCUAUUUUGGUGUGCGAGUCUCAGCAAUUAAACAAGAAGUUAUUAAGCUCCCCUCCCCCCAAAAAAGAGAAAUUCCCCUUUUCCCAUCUUCUCUCUCCGGCCGUGUUAAUAGAGUUUCAGAUUUGUCCGGGGCCUGAUCGAUAGAUGUCAUCUAUUAAAGGGCAGCGAGAUGCACCGGCGGGAGCGCAGCUCGCGUGAAUUUCUGCGGAUCCAAGAUGUCCAGGACCGAGAAGGAGAUCUUGUGGUGAGAAGGGGCCGCCUUGGCCCCGCCGUCCUGCCAUGCCAGCAUGUCCGCCUCCCGCGGGCCGGAGGGAGGACAGCCCGCCAUCAGCCAUGAGGGAAAGCCAGCACUAGCCACACCCUUGGGAACAUUGCUUCUUUUGUCAUCGCUACGACCUUUAGACGUUUAUUUCAGCGGCAAAUUCUGAAGCACCCCUUACUUAGAGCCACCUCCGGGCCCGCCACUCCUUUCUUCUUUUGCCCCUUGCGGUUCCCAGACAAUGUCUUGGCAAUUAAUAUUGUCUGAUCUGGUAAGAAGUAGGAAGAGGAGGGGACUCUUUCUCUAAAGUGCUGGGA